GGUUAUGAGGGCAAUUUGGCUGGGACAUCUGUCACCCCACUAAUCGCCAGGAUUGAUGAGGCUGAUCUGCCAGGCUAGGCAGGUGUCACUUCCUCACCCUCACCACUCUACGUGCUCGCUCCAUGGAAGAGGAUGCCCUUCCCCCAUAGAGGAGGACCGUUCUUCCGGUCAAGGGUAUACCAGUAGCUUUGUUCCCCUGCUAGGAGCUCCAAACAAGCUCUCGGGGUCCAUUUGUAGGAGAAUGUCAUAGAGUCAAGCUUCCAAGUUUCCAGACACAGCUAGAUGACGUGCCACAUGUGGCUGUCUGCCUUU
ensembl:misc_RNA 7SK 7SK RNA